UACAGAGGGUGCGAGCGUUAAUCGGAAUUACUGGGCGUAAAGCGUGCGUAGACGGUAGCGUAAGUCAGAUGUGAAAGCCCCGGGCUCAACCUGGGAAUUGCAUUUGAGACUGCUCUGCUCGGGUGCGGAAGAGGGAAGCGGAAUUUCCGGUGUAGCGGUGAAAUGCGUAGAUAUCGUCUGGAACGCCGAAGGUGAAAACAGCUCGCUGGGGCUGCGCUGACGCUGAGACACGAAAGCCAGGGGAGCGAACGGG
rnacentral:rRNA from 1 species